rnacentral:lncRNA from 1 species
CAGUGCAAUAUAUAUUGGCCAGAAACUAUUCGACAUAAGUUUGCACUUCAUUAAUUAUUACAAUAGAGAAGAGUUUAGAUAACAGUCAGACUAAACACGUUUAAGGUAAAAAUAAUUACAAUAAAUUUAAAUUUGAGUUUGAAACAACAAAUACAACAUUCAUUGUCGUCAGUAAUAUUAGUAGACAAUGGGGUCGUUUCUAUUGCUUUAGUGCUUUUCACCAAUAAAUAUCUUGUUCUCCAAUGGCCUUAAUACUACAGUAGACCAUGACAGCUGCUGAUGUGGGGAUAGAUC